ACGAACGCUGGCGGCGCGCUUAACACAUGCAAGUCGAACGAGAAGCCCGGGCUUGCCCGGGUGGACAGUGGCGAACGGGUGCGUAACACGUGAGCAACCUGCCCCGAAGACCGGGAUAACACCGGGAAUCCGGUGCUAAUACCGGAUGCCCUCACCACCUCGCAUGGGGAGGUGAGGAAAUGGAUUCCGCUUCGGGAUGGGCUCGCGGCCUAUCAGCUUGUUGGUGAGGUAACGGCUCACCGAGGCAACGACGGGUAGCUGGUCUGAGAGGAUGUCCAGCCACACUGGGACUGAGACACGGCCCAGACUCCUACGGGAGGCAGCAGUGGGGAAUCUUGCGCAAUGGGCGAAAGCCUGACGCAGCGACGCCGCGUGCGGGAUGACGGCCUUCGGGUUGUAAACCGCUUUCAGCAGGGACGAUUGUGACGGUACCUGCAGAAGAAGCCCCGGCCAACUACGU
rnacentral:rRNA from 1 species